rnacentral:rRNA from 1 species
GACGAACGCUGGCGGCGUGCUUAACACAUGCAAGUCGAACGAUGAAGCGGCCAGCUUGCUGGUGGUGGAUUAGUGGCGAACGGGUGAGUAACACGUGAGUAACCUGUCCUUCACUCUGGGAUAAGCCCUGGAAACGGGGUCUAAUACUAGAUAUUCUCAAUGUGCCGCAUGGUGUGUUGUGGAAAGAUUUUUUGGUGAGGGUUGGACUCGCGGCCUAUCAGCUUGUUGGUGGGGUAGUGGCCUACCAAGGCUUUGACGGGUAGCCGGCCUGAGCCAUGAUCAAACUCUUGAUUACG